CCCCAGUAACGGCGAGUGAAGCGGCAACAGCUCAAAUUUGAAAUCUGACCUCCACGAGGGGUCCGAGUUGUAAUUUGCAGAGGAUGCUUCGGCGUCGGCCCCGGGCCAAGUCCCCUGGAACGGGGCGUCCUAGAGGGUGAGAACCCCGUACCCGCCCGGGUGCCCUUCGCCUCGUGAAGCUCCUUCGACGAGUCGAGUUGUUUGGGAAUGCAGCUCCAAGCGGGAGGUAAAUUUCUUCUAAAGCUAAAUACCGGCCAGAGACCGAUAGCGCACAAGUAGAGUGAUCGAAAGAUGAAAAGCACUUUGGAAAGAGAGUUAAAAAGCACGUGAAAUUGUUGAAAGGGAAGCUCUUGCCGCCAGACUUGCCACGGUCGCUCAGCCGCCCCCCGGGGCGGUGUACUCUUCCGUCGGCAGGCCAGCGUCGGUUCGGGCGGUCGGAUAAAGGCCCCGGGAAUGUAGCAUCCUCCGGGGUGUGUUAUAGCCCGGGGCGUAAUACGGCCAGCCCGGUCCGAGGGAUGCGUUCGCGAGGACGCUGGCGUAAUGGCUGCAAGCGACCCGUCUUGAAACACGGACCAAGGAGUCUAACAUCUGUGCGAGUGUUUGGGCGUCAAACCCAUGCGCGUAAUGAAAGUGAACGGAGGUGGGAACCCCCUCGAGGGGCGCACCAUCGACCGAUCCUGAUGUCUUCGGAUGGAUUUGAGUAAGAGCAUAGCUGUUGGGACCCGAAAGAUGGUGAACUAUUCCCGGAUAGGGUGAAGCCAGAGGAAACUCUGGUGGAGGCUCGCAGCGGUUCUGACGUGCAAAUCGAUCGUCAAAUCUAGGAAUAGGGGCGAAAGACUAAUCGAACCAUCUAGUAGCUGGUUCCUGCCGAAGUUUCCCUCAGGAUAGCAGUGACGUGAUUCAGUUUUAUGAGGUAAAGCGAAUGAUUAGAGGCCUUGGGGUUGAAACAACCUUAACCUAUUCUCAAACUUUAAAUAUGUAAGAAGCCCUUGUUGCUUAGUUGAACGUGGGCAGUCGAAUGUACCGUCACUAGUGGGCCAUUUUUGGUAAGCAGAACUGGCGAUGCGGGAUGAACCGAAAGCGAGAUUAAGGUGCCGGAAUGCACGCUUAUCGGAUACCACAAAAGGCGUUAAUUGAUCCAGACAGCCGGACCGUGGCCAUGGAAGUCGGAACCAGCUAAGGAGUGUGUAACAACUCACCGGCCGAAUCAAUUAGCCCUGAAAAUGGAUGGCGCUCAAGCGUGCUACCCAAAUCUCGCCGCCGGGGCAGGAUCGAUGCCCCGNCGAGUAGGCAGGCGCGGGGGUCGGUGA
rnacentral:rRNA from 1 species